UUACAGAAUUUGAAGACCUCAACUUGCAGACUUGAGGAAUUUGAGGACCUCAACUUACAGACUUGGAGGACUUUGAAGACUUUAAUU
rnacentral:pre_miRNA from 1 species